GGGGGCCUAUACAUGCAGUCGACGAGAUUCAGGAGCUUGCUCUUCAUGAAAGUGGCGCACGGGUGCGUAACACGUAUGCAACCUACCUUCAAUUGGGGGAUAGCCUUCCGAAAGGGAGAUUAAUACCGCAUAAGAUAUUAGAAUGGCAUCAUUCAGAUAUUAAAACUUUGGUGAUUGAAGAUGGGCAUGCGUUGCAUUAGCUAGUUGGUAAGGUAACGGCUUACCAAGGCUACGAUGCAUAGGGGAUCUGAGAGGAUGGUCCCCCACACUGGUACUGAGAUACGGACCAGACUCCUACGGGAGGCAGCAGUAAGGAAUAUUGGUCAAUGGAGGGAACUCUGAACCAGCCAUGCCGCGUGCAGGACGACGGCCCUAUGGGUUGUAAACUGCUUUUGUCAGGGAAUAAAUCAUUUUACGUGUAGAAUGUUGAAGGUACCUGAAGAAUAAGGAUCGGCUAACUCCGUGCCAGCAGCCGCGGUAAUACGGAGGAUCCAAGCGUUAUCCGGAUUUAUUGGGUUUAAAGGGUGCGUAGGCGGUAAAUUAAGUCAGAGGUGAAAGCCUGCAGCUCAACUGUAGAACUGCCUUUGAUACUGGUUUACUUGAGUACAGAUGAAGUGGGCGGAAUGUGACAAGUAGCGGUGAAAUGCAUAGAUAUGUCACAGAACACCGAUUGCGAAGGCAGCUCACUAAAGUGUAACUGACGCUGAGGCACGAAAGCGUGGGGAUCAAACAGGAUUAGAUACCCUGGUAGUCCACGCCCUAAACGAUGAUUACUCGCUGCCGGCGAUAUACAGUCGGCGGCUAAGCGAAAGCGUUAAGUAAUCCACCUGGGGAGUACGGUCGCAAGAUUGAAACUCAAAGGAAUUGACGGGGGCCCGCACAAGCGGAGGAGCAUGUGGUUUAAUUCGAUGAUACGCGAGGAACCUUACCCGGGCUUGAAAGUUAGUGAAUGAUUUAGAAAUAGAUCAGUGAGCAAUCACACGAAACUAGGUGCUGCAUGGCUGUCGUCAGCUCGUGCCGUGAGGUGUUGGGUUAAGUCCCGCAACGAGCGCAACCCCUAUGAUUAGUUGCCAGCAUUAAGAUGGGGACUCUAAUCAGACUGCCUACCGCAAGUAGA
rnacentral:rRNA from 1 species